UCGAGCGGGCGUAGCAAUACGUCAGCGGCAGACGGGUGAGUAACGCGUGGGAACGUACCUUUUGGUUCGGAACAACACAGGGAAACUUGUGCUAAUACCGGAUAAGCCCUUACGGGGAAAGAUUUAUCGCCGAAAGAUCGGCCCGCGUCUGAUUAGCUAGUUGGUGAGGUAAUGGCUCACCAAGGCGACGAUCAGUAGCUGGUCUGAGAGGAUGAUCAGCCACAUUGGGACUGAGACACGGCCCAAACUCCUACGGGAGGCAGCAGUGGGGAAUAUUGGACAAUGGGGGCAACCCUGAUCCAGCCAUGCCGCGUGAGUGAUGAAGGCCCUAGGGUUGUAAAGCUCUUUUGUGCGGGAAGAUAAUGACGGUACCGCAAGAAUAAGCCCCGGCUAACUUCGUGCCAGCAGCCGCGGUAAUACGAAGGGGGCUAGCGUUGCUCGGAAUCACUGGGCGUAAAGGGUGCGUAGGCGGGUCUUUAAGUCAGGGGUGAAAUCCUGGAGCUCAACUCCAGAACUGCCUUUGAUACUGAAGAUCUUGAGUUCGGGAGAGGUGAGUGGAACUGCGAGUGUAGAGGUGAAAUUCGUAGAUAUUCGCAAGAACACCAGUGGCGAAGGCGGCUCACUG
rnacentral:rRNA from 1 species